rnacentral:rRNA from 1 species
GAUGAACGCUAGCUACAGGCUUAACACAUGCAAGUCGAGGGGCAGCAUUUUAGUUUGCUUGCAAACUAAAGAUGGCGACCGGCGCACGGGUGAGUAACACGUAUCCAACCUGCCGAUAACUCGGGGAUAGCCUUUCGAAAGAAAGAUUAAUAUCCGAUGGUAUAUUAAAACCGCAUGGUUUUACUAUUAAAGAAUUUCGGUUAUCGAUGGGGAUGCGUUCCAUUAGUUUGUUGGCGGGGUAACGGCCCACCAAGACUACGAUGGAUAGGGGUUCUGAGAGGAAGGUCCCCCACAUUGGAACUGAGACACGGUCCAAACUUCUACGGGAGGCAGCAGUGAGGAAUAUUGGUCAAUGGACGAGAGUCUGAACCAGCCAAGUAGCGUGGAGGAUGACUGCCCUAUGGGUUGUAAACUUCUUUUAUAUGGGAAUAAAGUAUUCCACGUGUGGGAUUUUGUAUGUACCAUAUGAAUAAGGAUCGGCUAACUCCGUGCCAGCAGCCGCGGUAAUACGGAGGAUCCGAGCGUUAUCCGGAUUUAUUGGGUUUAAAGGGAGCGUAGGUGGAUUGUUAAGUCAGUUGUGAAAGUUUGCGGCUCAACCGUAAAAUUGCAGUUGAAACUGGCAGUCUUGAGUACAGUAGAGGUGGGCGGAAUUCGUGGUGUAGCGGUGAAAUGCUUAGAUAUCACGAAGAACUCCGAUUGCGAAGGCAGCUCACUAGACUGCAACUGACACUGAUGCUCGAAAGUGUGGGUAUCAAACAGGAUUAGAUACCCUGGUAGUCCACACAGUAAACGAUGAAUACUCGCUGUUUGCGAUAUACAGUAAGCGGCCAAGCGAAAGCAUUAAGUAUUCCACCUGGGGAGUAUGCCGGCAACGGUGAAACUCAAAGGAAUUGACGGGGGCCCGCACAAGCGGAGGAACAUGUGGUUUAAUUCGAUGAUACGCGAGGAACCUUACCCGGGCUUAAAUUGCAUUUGAAUAAUCUGGAAACAGGUUAGCCGCAAGGCAAAUGUGAAGGUGCUGCAUGGUUGUCGUCAGCUCGUGCCGUGAGGUGUCGGCUUAAGUGCCAUAACGAGCGCAACCCUUAUCUUUAGUUACUAACAGGUCAUGCUGAGGACUCUAGAGAGACUGCCGUCGUAAGAUGUGAGGAAGGUGGGGAUGACGUCAAAUCAGCACGGCCCUUACGUCCGGGGCUACACACGUGUUACAAUGGGGGGUACAGAAGGCAGCUACCUGGUGACAGGAUGCUAAUCCCAAAAACCUCUCUCAGUUCGGAUCGAAGUCUGCAACCCGACUUCGUGAAGCUGGAUUCGCUAGUAAUCGCGCAUCAGCCAUGGCGCGGUGAAUACGUUCCCGGGCCU